rnacentral:rRNA from 1 species
GAUGAACGCUAGCUACAGGCUUAACACAUGCAAGUCGAGGGGCAGCGGGAUUGAAGCUUGCUUCAAUUGCCGGCGACCGGCGCACGGGUGAGUAACGCGUAUCCAACCUUCCGUACACUCAGGGAUAGCCUUUCGAAAGAAAGAUUAAUACCUGAUGGUAUGAUGAGAUUGCAUGAUAUCAUCAUUAAAGAUUUAUCGGUGUACGAUGGGGAUGCGUUCCAUUAGGUAGUAGGCGGGGUAACGGCCCACCUAGCCAACGAUGGAUAGGGGUUCUGAGAGGAAGGUCCCCCACAUUGGAACUGAGACACGGUCCAAACUCCUACGGGAGGCAGCAGUGAGGAAUAUUGGUCAAUGGACGAGAGUCUGAACCAGCCAAGUAGCGUGAAGGAUGAAGGUCCUGCGGAUUGUAAACUUCUUUUAUAAGGGAAUAAACCCUCCCACGUGUGGGAGCUUGUAUGUACCUUAUGAAUAAGCAUCGGCUAACUCCGU